rnacentral:rRNA from 1 species
CUAUGACGUUAGCGGCGGACGGGUGAGUAACACGUGGGCAACCUGCCUGUAAGACUGGGAUAACUCCGGGAAACCGGAGCUAAUACCGGAUAACAUUUUUUCUUGCAUAAGAGAAAAUUGAAAGAUGGUUUCGGCUAUCACUUACAGAUGGGCCCGCGGUGCAUUAGCUAGUUGGUGAGGUAACGGCUCACCAAGGCAACGAUGCAUAGCCGACCUGAGAGGGUGAUCGGCCACACUGGGACUGAGACACGGCCCAGACUCCUACGGGAGGCAGCAGUAGGGAAUCUUCCGCAAUGGACGAAAGUCUGACGGAGCAACGCCGCGUGAGUGAUGAAGGCUUUCGGGUCGUAAAACUCUGUUGUUAGGGAAGAACAAGUACAAGAGUAACUGCUUGUACCUUGACGGUACCUAACCAGAAAGCCACGGCUAACUACGUGCCAGCAGCCGCGGUAAUACGUAGGUGGCAAGCGUUAUCCGGAAUUAUUGGGCGUAAAGCGCGCG